rnacentral:lncRNA from 10 species
AACUCUUAAACAACCAGCAGACCACACUUAGGUCUUCAGGGGCUUCAACUCACGAUCCAUGCACAAGGCAGAAAAGUCCAGCCAAGAGAGCAGAGUUUAUCUGAGAGCUAUGCUGUUCCUGACCACCAAAUGCCGCCCUUCCAUCCCUUUCGCCAGCAGCACGCCAGCCCCGCUCACGUCCACAGACUUCAGUGCUUCUAGUCCAUCUCAGCCAGUGAGAUAGGAAAAGAUUCCAUAAGAGCUAUCCAAGGCCAUGGACUAGGGAAGGGAGAAUGGGAGUGACUGCUUCAUGAGUACAGAGUCUGCUUUGAGGGUGAUGAAAAAGUUCUGGAACUCAAUAGGGGUAAUGGUUACAUAGCAUUGUGAAUGUACUUAAUGCCACUAAAGGGUAUGCUUUAAAAUGGUAAGUCUUAUGUCACGUGUAUUUUUCCACAACUGAAAGAAAACAAGGUACCCAAAGACCUGGUGAGGGCUCACAUUACCCUUUCC